AUUGAACGCUGGCGGCAUGCCUUACACAUGCAAGUCGAACAGCAGCGCGGACUUCGGUCUGGCGGCGAGUGGCGAACGGGUGAGUAAUACAUCGGAACGUACCCUGUUGUGGGGGAUAACUAGUCGAGAGAUUAGCUAAUACCGCAUACGACCUGAGGGUGAAAGUGGGGGACCGCAAGGCCUCACGCAGCAGGAGCGGCCGAUGUCUGAUUAGCUAGUUGGUGGGGUAAAGGCCCACCAAGGCGACGAUCAGUAGCUGGUCUGAGAGGACGAUCAGCCACACUGGGACUGAGACACGGCCCAGACUCCUACGGGAGGCAGCAGUGGGGAAUUUUGGACAAUGGGGGCAACCCUGAUCCAGCAAUGCCGCGUGUGUGAAGAAGGCCUUCGGGUUGUAAAGCACUUUUGUCCGGAAAGAGAUCGCGCUGGUUAAUACCUGGCGUGGAUGACGGUACCGGAAGAAUAAGCACCGGCUAACUACGUGCCAGCCGCCGCGGUAA
rnacentral:rRNA from 1 species